GUUUGCUUGCUGCCUCAACAGGGUUCUUUUUCUACUCGUUACUUGCCAUAACACUUUUCACAAAUUUUGAUGAGAAAGAGAGAAUUAGCUGAGAAGGUGAUAAGACAAGGGAUGAGAAGGUUGUAGGAAGAGAGAAUUAGAUGCAAUUCCCAAACGCAGAAUCAAGUAGAGAGAGAAGAAAAUAAAAGAGAACCAACUAAUCUCCCUGGUGAAG
rnacentral:lncRNA from 1 species